rnacentral:rRNA from 1 species
AUUGAACGCUGGCGGCAGGCCUAACACAUGCAAGUCGAGCGGAUGAAGGGAGCUUGCUCCUGGAUUCAGCGGCGGACGGGUGAGUAAUGCCUAGGAAUCUGCCUGGUAGUGGGGGAUAACGUCCGGAAACGGGCGCUAAUACCGCAUACGUCCUGAGGGAGAAAGUGGGGGAUCUUCGGACCUCACGCUAUCAGAUGAGCCUAGGUCGGAUUAGCUAGUUGGUGGGGUAAAGGCCUACCAAGGCGACGAUCCGUAACUGGUCUGAGAGGAUGAUCAGUCACACUGGAACUGAGACACGGUCCAGACUCCUACGGGAGGCAGCAGUGGGGAAUAUUGGACAAUAGGCGAAAGCCUGAUCCAGCCAUGCCGCGUGUGUGAAGAAGGUCCUCGGAUUGUAAAGCACUUUAAGUUGGGAGGAAGGGCAGUAAGUUAAUACCUUGCUGUUUUGACGUUACCAACAGAAUAAGCACCGGCUAACUUCGUG